GGGAAUCUUCCACAAUGGACGCAAGUCUGAUGGAGCAACGCCGCGUGAGUGAAGAAGGUUUUCGGAUCGUAAAGCUCUGUUGUUGGUGAAGAAGGAUAGAGGUAGUAACUGGCCUUUAUUUGACGGUAAUCAACCAGAAAGUCACGGCUAACUACGUGCCAGCAGCCGCGGUAAUACGUAGGUGGCAAGCGUUGUCCGGAUUUAUUGGGCGUAAAGCGAGCGCAGGCGGAAGAAUAAGUCUGAUGUGAAAGCCCUCGGCUUAACCGAGGAAUUGCAUCGGAAACUGUUUUUCUUGAGUGCAGAAGAGGAGAGUGGAACUCCAUGUGUAGCGGUGGAAUGCGUAGAUAUAUGGAAGAACACCAGUGGCGAAGGCGGCUCUCUGGUCUGCAACUGACGCUGAGGCUCGAAAGCAUGGGUAGCGAACAGGAUUAGAUACCCUGGUAGUCCAUGCCGUAAACGAUGAGUGCUAAGUGUUGGGAGGUUUUCCGCCUCUCAGUGCUGCAGCUAACGCAUUAAGCACUCCGCCUGGGGGAGUACGACCGCAAGGUUGAA
rnacentral:rRNA from 1 species